UUUCAUUCUUUUCUCUCGAGAUCGAAAUUCUCUCUCUCUCUUUCCGACUAAAGCCACCACCACUAUCGCUUCCUCCGCGGCUGCAAAUAGAUUCAAAAACACCUCCUCCGCCGUCACCUCCGCCACUGCAAAUAGAUUCAUGAAUCAAUGGAUAACCCAAGAACUCAAAUCUAUUUGUGAUUCAGAUUCAUAUUCCAGAUUCGAUAUCGGAUUCCUUUCUGUGAAUCAAUCGAAUUAGGAAGUCCAUUAUAAUCAGCAGGGAUUGUUGCUUUUAGAAGGUCAAGGAAUCUAUCGGUUGGGAGAAAAUUGGUAUCAAGUUCAAUCGGGUGAUGCAAUUUGGAUGGUACCAUUUGUACCAUAGUGGGGCGGCAACUGACCGUGGUGGAGCAUCCUUAACUUUGAUUUGUUUUACCGUCUUUUUCGAUAAAAGGAAGCUACACCAUGAGUUACGGCAAGGAAGACAAGUAAGGUUGUUGACACCACUGGCGGCGGUGGUGAUGGCGGGCUGGUGGUGGCGGUGGCGGCAAAGGACUGGCGGUGGUGGUGGCGGCGGCGGCGACGGACUGGUGGUGGUGGUGGUGAUUGAUAUGUGGUGGAGCUAGCGGUGGCGGUGGCGGUGGUGGAAUAGUAGUUGAAUGUUGGUGGUGGUGGUGAUUGAUAUGUGGUGGAGCUAGUGGCGGUGGUUGUGGAAUGGUGGUGGAUAUGUGAUGGAGCUAGUGGUGGUGGCGUGGUGGAUGAAGUGGUAGAAUUUUUUUUGUUGUAUUUUGAAAUAAAGAAAUAUAUUUUAUGAAUGAGGGUAUUAAGGUAAUCUAUUUUUAAAGGGAUAAGAUUUUUAAAUGAUACGAGUAUAUUUAUUGUUGAAUAAGGGUAUAUUUGUUGGGUAUCAAAACUAGGGGUAUAGAAUUAAUGUACCCAAAAAGCUUAACUUCAAAUACAAUGCCGUCUAAAUUUUGUUAAGAAAAA